rnacentral:lncRNA from 1 species
UUAGGAAAUAUUUGUUCACCCAUUCAUGAGAAUGGGUGAAUCCAUUCAUGUUCACCCAUUAAUUAGAAAAUUAAUUUUUUCCAGCUGCCUCUCAGUUUUCUGUGAAUGACGUGAACAUUAUUACCAUGUUGAAACACUGUGAAUGAAAAUACUUGAGAAUUUUUCCUGUUGAAGCAGGUACACAUAUAAACCUAAACAGUAAAGGGCUGGAUGUUAUCUGAAAAUCAUUUUGUUACUCAAUGAAAGCAGAAAAGACCAAGUAAUAGAUAUACAAGGUUCAUUCAGUCUGUUCCUCCUCAAAGGCGUUGAAGUCUUGCUCUAAAUGUCCUAGUUUUAAGCAGAUAUAAUAGACAGAAACACAAUCCUAUGUGUUUCUGGUGGAAAGUUGAGGAAAAGGCCACUACAGAGGUUAUUUGGCUUGUCUCAGAAUAAAGGGGAGAUGAAGAAAGCAGGAAAAGAUACUUAAAAGAUUAAUUCUAGGCUUGGUAGACUAGUCUCCUGCACUUCUGGAACUUUGUUCACAUCCAAGCCAUAAUCUCAGGAUAAAUUUGGAUGUGAAUCAGCCAUCACCCCAAUUCUACAACGUGGCCAUAACAGAAAAGAAAUAGAAAAGGCACCCACCUCAGAUAGAAGAAAGAGUUACAGAUGAUCAGGACCAUGGCAUAUCCCAGCAGAAAUGAAGCCCAGAACUGCAGCUUGAAUGGAAGCAAUGAUGUUUUCCAACAUUUUUCUAGUAUAAACAACUGGAGGUGAAGAUCUCAGAGCCUGGUGCAAGAAUCGCAGCAAAUGAUUCUACAACACAGCAGCAGACCCAAGCGUGAGGAGGAAGAAGCCAUCAACAUCAGCAUCGUAUUUCCUGAAGAGAGGAGGAAGAAACUCCCUACAUCAUAC